rnacentral:rRNA from 1 species
AGCGAACGCUGGCGGCAGGCUUAACACAUGCAAGUCGAGCGGGCACUUUCGGGUGUCAGCGGCGGACGGGUGAGUAACGCGUGGGAACGUGCCCUCUGGUUCGGAAUAACUCAGGGAAACUUGAGCUAAUACCGGAUACGCCCUUUUGGGGAAAGGCUUGCUGCCGGAGGAUCGGCCCGCGUCUGAUUAGCUAGUUGGUGAGGUAACGGCUCACCAAGGCGACGAUCAGUAGCUGGUCUGAGAGGAUGAUCAGCCACACUGGGACUGAGACACGGCCCAGACCCCCCGGGGGGGGCGCAGGGGGGAUUUUUGGACAAGGGGCGCAAGCCUAAUCCCGCCAUGCCGGGGGAGUGAUGAAGGCUUUAGGGUUGUAAAGCUCUUUUAUCCGGGACGUAAUGGCCGGUCCCGGGGGAAAAAGCCCCGGCAAACUUCGU